rnacentral:rRNA from 1 species
CAGCCGUAAACUAUGCGCGUUAGGUGUACUGGUGACCACGAGUCACCGGGGUGCCGAAGGGAAACCGUGAAACGUGCCGCCUGGGAAGUACGGUCGCAAGGCUGAAACUUAAAGGAAUUGGCGGGGGAGGCACCACAACGGGUGGGAGCCUGCGGGUUUAAUUUGGACUCAACGCCGGAAAUACUCACCGGAUAGGACAGACAUAUGAUAGUCGGGCUGAAGACUCUACUUGAUGAUCUGAGAGGUGGUGCAUGGCGUAGUCGUGU